UCAAGUUAAUAAGAGCAUAGGGUGGAUGCCUUGGCACUAAGAGCCGAUGAAGGACGUGGUAAGCUGCGAAAAGUCUUGGGGAGCUGCAAGCGAGCGUUGAUCCAGGAAUGUCCGAAUGGGGAAACCCGGCUGUCGUAAUAGGCAGUCACCGUGCACUGAAUACAUAGGUGUACGGAGGGAGACUCAGGGAACUGAAACAUCUAAGUACCUGAAGGAGAAGAAAACAAAAGUGAUUUCCCAAGUAGUGGCGAGCGAACGGGAAGCAGGCCAAACCAGAGACUACGGUUUCUGGGGUUGUGGACGCAUCAUAAGUGAUGGAGGUAUUCUAGUCGAAUAGGUUUGGAAAGACCAGCCAAAGAGGGUGACAGCCCCGUAGACGAAAGAAGAAGACCCACGAUGCGCACCAGAGUACCACGGGGCACGUGAAACCUUGUGGGAAGCCGGGAGGACCAUCUCCCAAGCCUAAAUACUCCUUAGUGACCGAUAGCGCAUAGUACCGUGAGGGAAAGGUGAAAAGAACCCCUGUCGGGGAGUGAAAUAGAACCUGAAACCCUAUGUUUACAAGCAGUCGAAGCACUUUAUACGUGCGACGGCGUACUUUUUGUAGAACGGGCCAACGAGUUACGUUAUGCAGCAAGAUUAAGGGCUUAAGGUCCGUAGUCGAAGCGAAAGCGAGUCUGAAGAGGGCGUAUAGUUGUAUGGCGUAGACCCGAAACCGGGUGACCUAUCCAUGAGCAGGGUGAAGCUGAAGUAAAAUUCAGUGGAGGCCCGAACCCAUAUCUGUUGAAAAAGGUUGGGAUGACUUGUGGAUAGCGGAGAAAUUCCAAUCGAACUCGGAGAUAGCUGGUUCUCCCCGAAAUAGCUUUAGGGCUAGCCUUGAUGUGAGUGACGCGGGGGUAGAGCACUGACUGUCCUAGGGGGCUUCACCGCCUACCGAAGACUAUCAAACUCCGAAUACCGCAGUCAUAUAAUCAGGAGUCAGACUAUGUAUGAUAAGAUUCAUGGUCAAGAGGGAAACAGCCCAGACCGUCAGCUAAGGUCCCAAAGUCCAAGUUAAGUGGGAAAGGAUGUGGGGUUGCUUAGACAACUAGGAUGUUGGCUUAGAAGCAGCCAUUCAUUUAAAGAGUGCGUAAUAGCUCACUAGUCGAGUGACCCUGCGCCGAAAAUUACCGGGGCUCAAACUUGGCACCGAAGCUACGGCAACGUAUAUACGUUGGGUAGGGGAGCAUUGUAUGCGGGCAGAAGCUAUACCGUAAGGAGUGGUGGACUGCAUACAAGAGAGAAUGUUGGCAUGAGUAGCGAGAGGCAGGUGAGAAUCCUGCCCGCCGAAAACCUAAGGUUUCCUGGGGAAGGUUCGUCCGCCCAGGGUUAGUCAGGGCCUAAGCCGAGGACGAAAGUCGUAGGCGAUGGACAACUGGUUAAGAUUCCAGUACCACCGAUCAUCGUUUGAGAGAUGGAGUGACAGGGAAUGCAAAGUGAUCGCACUGAUGGAUGUGCGUCCAAGCGUCAAGUGAGAAGAAGUAGGCAAAUCCGCUUCUUUAAUUGCAAGGCGUGAUGGGGAGUGAAAAAUAAGUAGCGAAGUCACCGGAGAGUCCUUCAAGAAAAGCUUCUAUCGAGAUGUUAGGUGCCUGUACCGUAAACCGACACAGGUAGGUGAGUAGAGAAUACUAAGGCGAGCGAGAUAACCAUUGUUAAGGAACUCGGCAAAAUGACCCCGUAACUUCGGGAGAAGGGGUGCCGCAUUAGGGUUAAUAGCCCGAAGCGGCCGCAGAGAACAGGUCCAAGCAACUGUUUACCAAAAACACAGGUCUCUGCUAAGUCGAAAGACGAUGUAUAGGGGCUGACGCCUGCCCGGUGCUGGAAGGUUAUGAGGAGAGGUUAGCGUAAGCGAAGCUUUGAAUCGAAGCCCCAGUAAACGGCGGCCGUAACUAUAACGGUCCUAAGGUAGCGAAAUUCCUUGUCGGGUAAGUUCCGACCCGCACGAAAGGCGUAAUGAUUUGGACACUGUCUCAACAAUGGACUCGGUGAAAUUGUAGUACCGGUAAAGAUGCCGGUUACCCGCAGCAGGACGGAAAGACCCCGUGGAGCUUUACUGUAGCUUGGCACUGGAUUUUGGUAUAGCAUGUACAGGAUAGGUGGGAGACUAAGAAGUAUGCACGCUAGUGUGUAUGGAGUCACUGUUGGGAUACCACUCUUGCUAUAUCAGUGUCCUAACCGUGCGCCGUUAUCCGGCGUCGGGACAAUGUCAGGUGGGCAGUUUGACUGGGGCGGUCGCCUCCUAAAGAGUAACG
rnacentral:rRNA from 1 species